UCUCUCUAGAAAUCCCUCCCCCCUCUCUCUAAAAUCACAUCUCUGCUAAAAUUUCAUGACUCAGCUCUAAAUCUUUCUAAUCAAAAUGUGAAUCUCAUUUAUCAGGAAUACAAAAAAAAGAGCCGCACAGGAAGACUCAUUUGAGGCGUAUUUGGUGUUGUUGUUGAUUUUCAGUCUUGACAGAACUCGACUAUCUUAGUUUGGGAUCAAGGUGUGGUGGAGGUAUUAUUGAGAUAGUUGCUUCUGAAGCCAAAACUUCCUUUCUUAUCCUCUGUAUCUUUUAAGAAAAGAGCUCUUCGAUGUGGAUUUUAAGUUGCAAGCAAGGAAUCUGUUUCAGUAGAUUUUCCUUUUGUUGGUCCGCUGUUGGCUUGUUGAUUUGUAGUUUAUUUUUUGCUUGAUAUUCCCACAAGAUUGGUAUGGUAUUUGUUGUCAAUCUCUGGUUGAACAGUGUGAUGUGAGGUUCUUGGAAACUUUACAUGUACUACCUCAUGAAAUUUUCAUCCUGUCGAGGAAAAUGUUUGCUUAUUCAGAGAAAAGCAAAUAACUAAGCAUACUUGUGGUACAAAGUCUUUUGCAAAAGUAGAGGAAUCUACGAGAAAAACUAUUACUGGAGAAAUAUACACACCAGAUAAAGUUUGGGAGAUCCAACAUACACGCAAGGAUGAUAGAGGAGAACUGGUGUGGGUGGAUUCACAAUCCCAACAAAUUCAUGGUCAACUCCAAGAUGUUGUCACUCAACAACAAUCUGAAGAGAGCAUUCCAUGACUAGAGAUGAGAUUUUAUCCACCGUUCUUGGUGAGAGAACAAGCUAUGUUCGCGGAAAAGGAUACGGAGAGAAGCCUCCUAAAAAGAGUAACACGCAACAUGCAAACAUAGAGUCCAGCGUGUAUUCAGCUAUGGAAAUUGUGCGUCAAGAGAUGAAAGCCGAGAUGGAUAGGAAGUUGCAAGAAGAACGUGAACAUCUGUUGAGUUGAAAAGAAAUAUGGAGCUUGAGUUGCAAAGGAAGUUGGCAGAGGAGCGUGAACACGCAAAUGCAGAAGUAGGCAAGAGGAUCAAUCUAGAAGUGGACAAGAGGAUGCAUGAAUAAUUUGCUAGUUUCAUGAUCAGAAUGCAACAACAGCAGGGACAAGACACUUAAACAAUGGUAUCGUUUAGGGAUGGUGUCGACCAAGGAGCAAUUACAAGGCACUUAAUAUUUUGUCUUUUUUUGGGAUAUGUAUAUGCGUACAAUUACAAUGCACAUGUCGUGUAGUAUUAUGUAAUUGACUUUUUUGUAAUGAAAAUAUUUAUAAUAUUUAGUUUGAGAAA